ensembl:snRNA Gm25044 predicted gene, 25044
GUGCAGGCGUCGGCAGCAUGUAGACUAAGAUGGGAACAUUACAGAGAUUAGUGUGGCCGCUGGGCAAAGAUGACACUUGAAUUCGUGAGGCAUUCCAUAUUGAA